rnacentral:misc_RNA from 1 species
GCAAACUUGGUCAUUUAGAGGAAGUAAAAGUCGUAACAAGGUAUCCGUAGGUGAACCUGCGGAUGGAUCAUUCAAGUGAGAACCCUUUACAGUGGUUCGCAAGUCUUGUGCAAUGUUUAUUUGGUUGAUGCCUCAUUCUUUUGUGUGAGGCAAUCACUUUUACAACACUUUUACAGUUGUUUUACUGACAUUCAUAAAAGAACCUUGAAAACUGCCAGCAAUGGAUCCCUCGGUUCUCGCAUCGAUGAAGAACGCAGC